GAUGAACGCUGGCGGCGUGCUUAACACAUGCAAGUCGAACGGAAAGGCCCAAGCUUGCUUGGGUACUCGAGUGGCGAACGGGUGAGUAACACGUGGGUGAUCUGCCCUGCACUUCGGGAUAAGCCUGGGAAACUGGGUCUAAUACCGGAUAGGACCACAUUUUGGAUGGUGUGGUGGAAAGUUUUUCGGUGUGGGAUGAGCUCGCGGCCUAUCAGCUUGUUGGUGGGGUAAUGGCCUACCAAGGCGUCGACGGGUAGCCGGCCUGAGAGGGUGUACGGCCACAUUGGGACUGAGAUACGGCCCAGACUCCUACGGGAGGCAGCAGUGGGGAAUAUUGCACAAUGGGCGCAAGCCUGAUGCAGCGGCGCCGCGUGGGGGAUGACGGCCUUCGGGUUGUAAACUCCUUUCGCUAGGGACGAAGCGUUAUGUGACGGUACCUGGAGAAGAAGCACCGGCUAACUACGUG
rnacentral:rRNA from 1 species